rnacentral:tRNA from 1 species
GCUUUGCUAGCUCAGUUGGUAGAGCAUCAGACUCUUAAUGUCAGAGUCAUGGGUUCAAGCCCUGUGUCAGACA